rnacentral:rRNA from 1 species
GAGGAAAAGAAACCAACAGGGAUUGCCUCAGUAACGGCGAGUGAAGCGGCAAAAGCUCAAAUUUGAAAUCCCCCGGGAAUUGUAAUUUGAAGGUGAGGGAAMAUAAAAAGGAAAAGUCCAUUGGAAAAUGGCGCCAUAGAGGGUGAUAGCCCCGUAMCCUAMCCAUUAUCUUCCCUCUCCAAAGAGUCGAGUUGUUUGGGAAUGCAGCUCUAAGUGGGUGGUAAAUUCCAUCUAAAGCUAAAUAUUGGCGAGAGACCGAUAGCGAACAAGUACAGUGAUGGAAAGAUGAAAAGCACUUUGAAAAGAGAGUGAAAAAGUACGUGAAAUUGUUGAAAGGGAAGGGCUUGCAAGCAGACACAACUUAGGUUGGGCCAGCAUCGGCGCGGUAGGAGCCAAAAAAUGGAAGGAAUGUAGCUUCGGUGUUAUAUCCUCCCUCAUACCUCCCCACCAUGCCGAGGCCUGCGAUUCAAGGAUGCUGGCGUAAUGGUUGCAAGUCGCCCGUCUUGA